CUUUUACUCUAACCUCAUGCACACGUGUCUCAUCAAAGUACCCAGUGUGAAGGUAAAUGUUGCAUAUAAUGUUGUUUAGGGGGCACGUUGUUGUUCAGGAUGCUGCUUUUUAAAGAUGCUGCUCUGUCUCAGUUUUUGUAAAGUUUCCGUCAUCAGAGCAAAAAAGGUUGUGAGUUAUUUCACUUAAUUCUGAUAAGAUGUAUAGCAUGGUCCUUGCUGCUGAUAAAAACAAAAGUGAAUAUCUUCAGAAAUAUCAGCAUCUGUCCAGACGACAUUUUUAGUUUGUUAUCUAUCAUUAGAUUCCAUCGUUACACUAAUUGGACAUGUCUUGUAUAGGCCUAUUAAUAUGCAAACCUAGGCCUAUAGCCUACCUGAAGUUAUAACAUCUAGAUCAAUAUGAUUUGACAAAAUAAAGUGCUUCAAUGCACGUUUUAUUUCCUUUUGCACAACUGCAACAGCAAGGGCAACAGGUUUUUUUGUGUUCAUUUAAGGCACACUCAAAAAAUGUUUCUGGGUCCUGGUAAAUAUUAAGAAAUAUGUAUACAAACAAUUUAAGGAAUAUUGAAAUCAUAUAAACACCAUUUGAACUGUCCGCGUAUUAACUUUUAAACAAAUAAUCUAAACAAAUAAUGUAGGCCUAUGCACUUGAAAAAAGCUCAUAAUAUUAACUGACAUGCACAUCACACUCCAGAACAGUAGGUGGCAGUAAGAAAUGAAUCGCCUAUUGUCGAAACACAUUUUCAUUGACAGUAUUUAUCUUCUUCCUGCUGGCACCAAGUUGUUACCUUAUUGGUACAGAAAUAUUUUACAUAAAUCAAAACUAUAUAUGUGAAAUUCAUGCUGUAAUUCAGGUGGGAUAACAAACAAAAACAAAAAAAAUCACCAAAGGGUAAAACCGGAAAUGGAAUUACGUCACUUCCUGUUCGUCAGUUGGUCUCCUGCUUUGAAAUUGAGGCAAUCGUUUUCAGCCGGAUGGUUACCCCCUGUGCUAGUGGAAGAUGUGACUUUGAAGACAGUCAUUGUAAAAGGUGCAAAAGGCUUGUCUAAGAUAAGCUGGCAGUCUACACCGCAUGGCCUGCGUUGCUGACAUUAAGUGAAGUUAAUGCAGAGUUCCUGUGCCUGACAGAUACUUGAGGAAGCAUCUUGGAGGUUGUCAAGGAGAAGGGAGGCGUUGCCAGAAGGAAGGACUGGAGUGGCGAAGUGAUCCAAAGGCAGACUGCACAUCUACGUAUAUGGUUUGCAAGGAACAUCCCGUGCCAGAGACUGUGAUACAAGGCAUGGAGCUGUACAGUGAACUCGGAGCAUCUCUUGUGCAUGUGUGAUGCUGUUUGGACUCGGUUACCGGUAUAUACCCUUAAUCUCAACUCUGUGGAUUUGGAUUUACAAUUUUAAGUAUCCAGAUGAACUGAAAUAUAUGUUCUGGUGAAUUUGGAAAAUAUGCCCAAAAGGUCCAAUCACUAUAAACUACAGUAAAUAUGUUGGACACUGGCAAUCUCAGGUUCUAAGCCAUUGUAUAAAAGGACAAUCCAUCGCAUUUCUAUUAAUACUUUUGUGUGCUGUUCUCUGAUCUGAGUUGAUGAUUUUUUUUGUCCUUUUUUGUCUUUUGUCAGCAUGGCAUUGAGUAUCAUUGAGGGGCUUUUUUCUAAACAUUGGCUAUGCAGAUUAAAAGAUGAGCACUAUAAGGAAAGGCGUAAUAACGCCUCAGUAGCACUUCAUGGACACAUUGAUAUCAUAAUUAAAAACAUUUCUCUCUCCCUCUCCUCCCCCACUUUGAGAAAGAAUCAAAGAGUCAAAAGUGCUCCUGCGGGCAGUUGGUUAAUUCUAAAAUGUCCAUUCACAAAUAACAUCUUUUUCAUGAAUGUCUAAGUAAAUAAGUGAGUAAAUAGACACAUACUGUUCUGAUGAGAGUAUGCUUUUCGGCCAAAGAUAUCUGACUGCAUAUCUGACCCAAGCGAUUAUGACAUUACUUAGAAUUUGAUGGUGGUUGUAAGCAUUCAUGAAAAAGAUGACAUUUCUGAACAGGCCACAUUAAUUAAUGUGUUACAGUACACUGAUAAUUUCAGGUUUUCUGUUUAAUUUCUGUUUAAUCAUACGAUUAUAUUGUCAAGAUUUUGGUGUUUUAUUAUCGUUUGACUGCAUGUUUGUCCAGCUGAUGAAAUAUUAAUAAAAGAAAUGUUUUGAAGUUCU